rnacentral:rRNA from 1 species
ACCCCCUGAACUUAAGCAUAUCAAUAAGCGGAGGAAAAGAAAAUAACAAUGAUUCCCCUAGUAACUGCGAGUGAAGAGGGACAAGCUCAAAUUUUAAAUCCAUCGGGUUUUACCUGAUCGAGUUGUAAUUUGAAGAGGCGUUUUCUGUGUUUCUGAUCAGUCCAAGUCCUUUGGGAUAAGGCAUCAUGGAGGGUGAGAAUUCCGUCCGGUUGAUCAGAUUCGCUUUACGAUACGCUUUCUAAGAGUCAAGUUGUUUGGGAUUGCAGCUUAAAAUGGGAGGUAAAUUUCUCCUAAGGCUAAAUAACGGCGAGAGACCGAUAGCGAACAAGUACCGUGAGGGAAAGAUGAAAAGAACUUUGAAAAGAGAGUUAAAUAGUACGUGAAAUUGUUGAAAGGGAAACGAUUGAAGCCAGUCGUACCUAUGGGUAAUCAGCCUUUUGGGUGUGAUUUUGUGGAGCGUGAGGAGUUAAACGCCUUCAUGCCUGCAUAUUCGUGCACUUUGGGUGUACUUGCCCGUAUGGUUGGUUAACAUCAAUUUUGGUGGUCAUAAAAUGACUGGAGGAAUGUAGCUUCGAUCUCGUAUUGAAGUGUUAUAGCCUUCGGUAGAUGUGAUGAUCGAGAUUGAGGAUUGCAACGGAUACCCUUCGGGGCUACCUGUCUGAUCUCUGAUCGUUGCUCUGGUGCCGAAAGCUUGCUUACGGUUAUCAAAGUCGAUGGUCAAUAGGUUAGAACGGGUUAAAUUCGUUAAGGAUGUUGACGUAAUGGCUUUAAACGACCCGUCUUGAAACACGGACCAAGGAGUCUAACAUAUAUGCGAGUGUUAGGGUGAUUAAACCCUUACGCGUAAUGAAAGUAAUUUUGGUGGGAACAUUUUUGUGCACCAUCGACCGAUCAGGAUAUUUUUUGAUAGAUUUGAGUAAGAGCAUAUCUGCUAGGACCCGAAAGAUGGUGAACUAUGCCUGAAUAGGGUGAAGUCAGAGGAAACUCUGAUGGAGGCUCGUAGCGGUUCUGACGUGCAAAUCGAUCGUCAAAUUUGGGUAUAGGGGCGAAAGACUAAUCGAACCAUCUAGUAGCUGGUUCCUGCCGAAGUUUCCCUCAGGAUAGCAGAAACUCGUUAACAGUUUUAUGAGGUAAAGCGAAUGAUUAGAGGCCUUAGGGUUGAAACAGCCUUAACCUAUUCUCAAACUUUAAAUAUGUAAGAAGUUUAUCGUUACUUAAUUGAACGUGAACAUUCGAAUGAGAGUUUCUA